CCUACGGGAGGCAGCAGUGGGGAAUAUUGCGCAAUGGGGGAAACCCUGACGCAGCAACGCCGCGUGAGCGAUGAAGGCCUUCGGGUCGUAAAGCUCUGUCUUUAGGGACGAUAAUGACGGUACCUAAGGAGGAAGCCACGGCUAACUACGUGCCAGCAGCCGCGGUAAU
rnacentral:rRNA from 1 species